rnacentral:rRNA from 1 species
AUUGAACGCUGGCGGCAGGCCUAACACAUGCAAGUCGAACGAGUGGCGGACGGGUGAGUAAUGUCUGGGAAACUGCCCGAUGGUGGGGGAUAACUAAUGGAAACGGUAGCUAAUACCGCAUACAAUCGGAUGGGCCCAGAUGGGAUUAGCUAGUAGGUGGGGUAACGGCUAACCUAGGCGACGAUCCCUAGCUGGUCUGAGAGGAUGACCAGCCACACUGGAACUGAGACACGGCCCAGACUCCUACGGGAGGCAGCAGUGGGGAAUAUUGGACAAUGGGCGCAAGCCUGAUGCAGCCAUGCCGCGUGUAUGAAGAAGGCCUUCGGGUUGUAAAGUACUUUCAGCGGGGAGGCGGUACUCGCAGAAGAAGCACCGGCUAACUACGUGCCAGCAGCCGCGGUAAUUC